AAUAAGCCACAAUAUUUUUAGAAAUAGUUUUAACGCAAGUAAGCAAACCAAAAAAAUUGUUAGUUUAGUAAUAAUUGUAUAUUAUUUACGUCUUGUUUACAUUAGACAUUUAAUAAUUCCACACCCCGAUGACUAUAUAAAAAAAGCGCGCGAUAAGUCAAUAUACAGCUGGUAGCACGGCAAACAGCUGUUAGGUUGUGCGACACUGCUGGCACCAGGGCUGCAACUGCAUACAAUUCUGGCGCUCGAUUAAUUAAUUUGAAAUAACGAUUAUUCAUCAAUUUCAUACGUGCUUAGGUGACCGUAAACAGCUGCUUGUAAUUUGGUAAUUAAUUUAAGUACUUAAGUAAAGUACUCAAAAGUGAUUUUGCAACAUUUGCAAAACAACUGACUGUUUUAAAACGCUAAAAUACCGUUUGACUUGUCAACACAUAUUUAAAUGUCGUCUAAUUGUACCGUUGGUCAUUUUACUUUCAAACACAUUCCAUUGUGCCUCUAAUUUCUGACACUCGCUUCAUUGACCCAGCCCACAAAACGCCGCGCUGUCUGUGCGAGUCAUACUCUGCAGAAAUACAGUGUGAGAGAGACGGAGAGGGAUAGGAUGAAGGUGGGAGCGAGAGCGAGAAUGAGGAGACUGGCCGACUAACUGACUCAGUGCAUGCCAUUUACCGUUGCGGUUGUUGUUUUGGGCAACAACAAAAACGAAGUUGGCGCCGUUUGGUCAGAAAAUUUUAAGUAAAUAUGUAUGUAUGUAUGUAUGUAUGCAUGUAUAAGUAUAUCUGCAACUAAUUGUAUGUAUUUGCACUGUACGUAUUGUACAUAAUUAUUACAAUUGAGAUUUAAGUGAAAACAUUUUAAGCCAAUGAGUAACAAUAUUGAAACCUUGUACUGGCAUCUUGUUGAAUCAAAUCAAAUAAAUAUCAAUUAAAUGUAA